UCUGAGACCACGAGCUGCGCCUGUGUGAAGCUCCUUCGACGAGUCGAGUUGUUUGGGAAUGCAGCUCUAAAUGGGUGGUAAAUUUCAUCUAAAGCUAAAUAUGGGCCUGAGACCGAUAGCGCACAAGUAGAGUGAUCGAAAGAUGAAAAGCACUUUGAAAAGAGAGUCAAACAGUAUGUGAAAUUGUUGAAAGGGAAGCGCUGGCAAUCAGACUUGCGUGUGACAGUUCCCCCAGUCUCCUGACCGGGCUACUCUGUUAUAUCCAGGCCAACAUCGGUUUGGGUGGUCGGUGAAAGACCUCGGGAAUGUAUCUACCUCCGGGUCGACUUAUAGCCUGGGGUGCAAUGCGGCCUGCCCGGACCGAGGAACGCGCUUCGGCUCGGAUGUUGGCGUAAUGGUUGCAAGCGGCCCGUCUUGAAACACGGACCAAGGAGUCUAACAUCUAUGCGAGUGUUUGGGUGUCAAACCCCUACGCGCAAUGAAAGUGAAUGGAGGUAAGAACCCCGUCUAGGGGCGCACUAUCGACCGAUCCUGAUGUCUUCGGAUGGAUUUGAGUAAGAGCAUAGCUGUUGGGACCCGAA
rnacentral:rRNA from 1 species